GACGAACGCUGGCGGCGUGCUUAACACAUGCAAGUCGUACGGUAAGGCCCUUUCGGGGGUACACGAGUGGCGAACGGGUGAGUAACACGUGAGUAACCUGCCCACAACUUUGGGAUAACGCUAGGAAACUGGUGCUAAUACUGGAUAUGUGCUCCUGCUGCAUGGUGGGGGUUGGAAAGCUCCGGCGGUUGUGGAUGGACUCGCGGCCUAUCAGCUUGUUGGUGGGGUAGUGGCCUACCAAGGCGGCGACGGGUAGCCGGCCUGAGAGGGUGACCGGCCACAUUGGGACUGAGAAACGGCCCAGACUCCUACGGGAGGCAGCAGUGGGGAAUAUUGCACAAUGGGCGCAAGCCUGAUGCAGCAACGCCGCGUGCGGGAUGACGGCCUUCGGGUUGUAAACCGCUUUCAGCAGGGACGAAGCUUUUUGUGACGGUACCUGCAGAAGAAGCACCGGCUAACUACGUG
rnacentral:rRNA from 1 species